UGGGGAAUAUUGGACAAUGGGCGAAAGCCUGAUCCAGCCAUGCCGCGUGUGUGAAGAAGGUCUUCGGAUUGUAAAGCACUUUAAGUUGGGAGGAAGGGCAGUAAGCGAAUACCUUGCUGUUUUGACGUUACCGACAGAAUAAGCACCGGCUAACUCUGUGCCAGCAGCCGCGGUAAUACAGAGGGUGCAAGCGUUGAUCGGAAUUACUGGGCGUAAAGCGCGCGUAGGUGGUUCGUUAAGUUGAAUGUGAAAGCCCCGGGCUCAACCUGGGAACUGCAACCAAAACUGGCGAGCUAGAGUAGGGCAGAGGGUGGUGGAAUUUCCUGUGUAGCGGUGAAAUGCGUAGAUAUAGGAAGGAACACCAGUGGCGAAGGCGACCACCUGGGCUCAUACUGACACUGAGGUGCGAAAGCGUGGGGAGCAAACAGG
rnacentral:rRNA from 1 species